CAAUUGUUAAAAAAAAAAAAAAAAAACUGCUUACCAUUUAUAUCAAAACAUCACACUUCCAAAUGCUCCCCAAAAAAACAUCAGCUUGACAGCAGCUACUCUCCAAACAGCAAAUACAGAGAUGAGAGAUUAAACAAAUUAUAAUAAUUUGUUCCCCCAAAUGGGUCCCAACCUUUGGUUUAUGGGAGAUUUUGUGCUUUCCCCAUGCUGCUUCCCCUAUUCACAGUGCCAGCAGCCUGCAUCGCCCAGAGCAGCAGCACCACUGCACAGCAGCAGGGAGUUUCCACCACUUCCAAAACAGAAAGUUUGCCUAAAAUCCACAGGCCACCAUCUGUCUCUUCCCUUACAUCCAGUCUCAGCCUCCUCUCUGUUAAAUGGAAGCCAUUUCCCCUUGUCCUGUCUCCUUUCUCACAGCCCCUUGAGAUACAGGAAGAAAUCACAAGCGAGCAACUGUAACUAUUGUACCAAGUCACGGGCAUGCUUUUCCUUUCAAAGCACUUUCUAUUGGGCUGAUGGGAUAAUUUUUUUUAAUUAUUAUUUUUUGCAGUUGUUAUUUUCCUGUUUUUAUUCAAAGGAAUACAAAAUCUCACUGUUCCCAUUUCCAAAGAAAAACUCGCUACGCAAUGGCCUCACAGCACGGCCCCGCACCUCAACCGCGCAAGGCAGGAAACGCUCGCGUCGGCGCCUCGCCUUCCUAUUGGCGAGCGGCCGAGUCAGUGAGUAGAACCGCGUGUUGCCAUUGGAUGUGAGCCGGCGGGGGGGCGGGACAAGGCGGUGAGUUCCUGCUGGGCGCGUGGGGUCCGGAAGCAAACAAGCACCUGGAACUAGAACUUUUCUGUCCUAAUUUCUGUCCUAGGAGCAAAUUUCUUGUUGAAUGGAAACAGAUUUGACCAAAGCAAUGAUGAGUGAAGUAUUCUCUGAACUGGUAUUGCUGAGACUUUUUGUCUUUGCUCUGACCAGGGCGUGAUCACGUAAUCUUCUCUCUGAGCUUAUUUA